CCUACGGGUGGCUGCAGUGGGGAAUAUUGCACAAUGGGGGAAACCCUGAUGCAGCGACGCCGCGUGAAGGAAGAAGUAUUUCGGUAUGUAAACCUCUAUCAGCAGGGAAGAAAAUGACGGUACCUGACUAAGAAGCCCCGGCUAACUACGUGCCAGCAGCCGCGGUAAUACGUAGGGGGCAAGCGUUAUCCGGAUUUACUGGGUGUAAAGGGAGCGUAGGCGGCGAUGCAAGUCAGAUGUGAAAGCUCGGGGCUCAACCCCGGGACUGCAUUGGAAACUGUGUUGCUGGAGUACAGGAGAGGUAAGUGGAAUUCCUAGUGUAGCGGUGAAAUGCGUAGAUAUUAGGAGGAACACCAGUGGCGAAGGCGGCUUACUGGACUGUAAAUGACGCUGAGGCUCGAAAGCGUGGGGAGCAAACAGGAUUAGAUACCCUUGUAGUC
rnacentral:rRNA from 1 species